UGUGGCUCAGCUGGUAGAGUGUUUGCCUAGCAUGCAGAAAGCCCUGGGUUCUAUUCCCAGCA
rnacentral:tRNA from 1 species